AUGAUAAAGUUAUUUUUUUGUUAUGGUUGUUUUGGUGAGCUGGCAAUUCUGAGUUUGUUUCUGAUUUUUUUGAUAUAUUCUGAGUUUUUCUUCUGUUUUAUUGAAUACUCUUCUCUCUUUUUUAACUUAUGCAGGGUGGUAAUUACAGUUAUGUGGUUUCAAUACAGGGGCCUAUUUCUGAUCUGUGUUGGGCUGGUUUUAUGA